CGAUGCAGCCGACUACUUUCC
rnacentral:miRNA from 1 species